rnacentral:rRNA from 1 species
UACCAGCUCUCCGAGUGGUGUGGAUGUUUAUUGGGCCUAAAGCAUCCGUAGCUGGCUGGGCAAGUUCCCUGUUAAAUCCACCGAUUUAAUCGUUGGAGUGCGGGGGAUACUGUUCGGCUAGGGGACGGGAGAGGCAGACGGUAUUUUCGGGGUAGGGGUGAAAUCCUAUAAUCCCGGGAAGACCACCAGUGGCGAAGGCUGUCUGCUAGAACGCGCCCGACGGUGAGGGAUGAAAGCUGGGGGAGCGAACCGGAUUAGAUACCCGGGUAGUCCCAGCUGUAAACGAUGCAGGCUAGGUGUUUGGGCGGCCACGUGCCGCUCUAGUGCCGCAGGGAAGCCGUUAAGCCUGCCGCCUGGGGAGUACGGCCGCAAGGCUGAAACUUAAAGGAAUUGGCGGGGGAGCACCACAAGGGGUGAAGCUUGCGGUUU